AGAGUUUGAUCCUGGCUCAGGAUGAACGCUGGCGGCGUGCCUAAUACAUGCAAGUCGAGCGAACAGACGAGGAGCUUGCUCCUCUGACGUUAGCGGCGGACGGGUGAGUAACACGUGGAUAACCUACCUAUAAGACUGGGAUAACUUCGGGAAACCGGAGCUAAUACCGGAUAAUAUUUCGAACCGCAUGGUUCGAUAGUGAAAGAUGGCUUUGCUAUCACUUAUAGAUGGACCUGCGCCGUAUUAGCUAGUUGGUAAGGUAACGGCUUACCAAGGCAACGAUACGUAGCCGACCUGAGAGGGUGAUCGGCCACACUGGAACUGAGACACGGUCCAGACUCCUACGGGAGGCAGCAGUAGGGAAUCUUCCGCAAUGGGCGAAAGCCUGACGGAGCAACGCCGCGUGAGUGAUGAAGGUCUUCGGAUCGUAAAACUCUGUUAUUAGGGAAGAACAAACGUGUAAGUAACUGUGCACGUCUUGACGGUACCUAAUCAGAAAGCCACGGCUAACUACGUGCCAGCAGCCGCGGUAAUACGUAGGUGGCAAGCGUUAUCCGGAAUUAUUGGGCGUAAAGCGCGCGUAGGCGGUUUUUUAAGUCUGAUGUGAAAGCCCACGGCUCAACCGUGGAGGGUCAUUGGAAACUGGAAAACUUGAGUGCAGAAGAGGAAAGUGGAAUUCCAUGUGUAGCGGUGAAAUGCGCAGAGAUAUGGAGGAACACCAGUGGCGAAGGCGACUUUCUGGUCUGUAACUGACGCUGAUGUGCGAAAGCGUGGGGAUCAAACAGGAUUAGAUACCCUGGUAGUCCACGCCGUAAACGAUGAGUGCUAAGUGUUAGGGGGUUUCCGCCCCUUAGUGCU
rnacentral:rRNA from 1 species